GUUGAGGAGCUUAGGACUAGGGUAUCGAGUGAUAACUCUUAAAGCCUUAACUUUAUCAAACCUUAUACUACCAUUAUGUCGUGCUUAAUUUAUAUAACAUGGCACCUUUAAGUGACACUUUUAUCUAGUUGGUUAAACUUUCUAGCGUUCUCUUUAUGUCUUUUCUCUCUCUCUCUCUCUCUUAGUUUUCAAGGUUUCAUUGAAAAUAUUUGUUAAAUUAGCAUAAAGCAAUCUCGUCAUCCUAAGAUAAAGUUACGAGUGGUGC
rnacentral:lncRNA from 1 species